GAUGAACGCUGGCGGCGUGCUUAACACAUGCCAGUCGAACGGAAAGGCCGAAGCUUGCUUCGGUACUCGAGUGGCGAACGGGUGAGUAACACGUGGGUGAUCUGCCCUGUACUUCGGGAUAAGCUUGGGAAACUGGGUCUAAUACCGGAUAUGACGAUCUCUUGGAUGGGGUUGUGGAAAGCUUUUGCGGUAUGGGAUGAGCUCGCGGCCUAUCAGCUUGUUGGUGGGGUAAUGGCCUACCAAGGCGUCGACGGGUAGCCGGCCUGAGAGGGUGUACGGCCACAUUGGGACUGAGAUACGGCCCAGACUCCUACGGGAGGCAGUAGUGGGGAAUAUUGCACAAUGGGCGCAAGCCUGAUGCAGCGACGCCGCGUGGGGGAUGACGGCCUUCGGGUUGUAAACUCCUUUCGCAAUCGACGAAGCCUUUUGGUGACGGUAGGUUGAGAAGAAGCACCGGCUAACUACGUG
rnacentral:rRNA from 1 species